rnacentral:rRNA from 1 species
GAUGAACGCUGGCGGCGUGCCUAAUACAUGCAAGUCGAGCGAACGGACGAGAAGCUUGCUUCUCUGAUGUUAGCGGCGGACGGGUGAGUAACACGUGGAUAACCUACCUAUAAGACUGGGAUAACUUCGGGAAACCGGAGCUAAUACCGGAUGAUAUUUUGAACCGCAUGGUUCAAAAGUGAAAGACGGUCUUGCUGUCACUUAUAGAUGGAUCCGCGCUGCAUUAGCUAGUUGGUAAGGUAACGGCUUACCAAGGCAACGAUGCAUAGCCGACCUGAGAGGGUGAUCGGCCACACUGGAACUGAGACACGGUCCAGACGCCUACGGGAGGCAGCAGUAGAGAAUCUUCCGCAAUGGGCGAAAGCCUGACGGAGCAACGCCGCGUGAGUGAUGAAGGUCUUCGGAUCGUAAAACUCUGUUAUUAGGGAAGAACAUAUGUGUAAGUAACUGUGCACAUCUUGACGGUACCUAAUCAGAAAGCCACGGCUAACUACGUG